AUACGUAGGUGGCAAGCGUUAUCCGGAAUUAUUGGGCGUAAAGCGCGCGUAGGCGGUUUCUUAAGUCUGAUGUGAAAGCCCACGGCUCAACCGUGGAGGGUCAUUGGAAACUGGGAAACUUGAGUGCAGAAGAGGAAAGUGGAAUUCCAUGUGUAGCGGUGAAAUGCGCAGAGAUAUGGAGGAACACCAGUGGCGAAGGCGACUUUCUGGUCUGUAACUGACGCUGAUGUGCGAAAGCGUGGGGAUC
rnacentral:rRNA from 1 species